CUACAUUAUGAAUACCGGUUUUACAUACACGUACAUUAUAAGACUGAACAGUUGGAUAGCUUGUGCGUAAAUGAUCUUUUCGCUUCCAGCGGCUCCAACCCUGAGCAAUUUCUCUUCAAAUUAAAACAUAGAGAAGUCACAAGUGUGCUUCAUUGAUUUCACAAACAAAGGGUGACAAAAUCGACGUCCACAGGUACCCAUGUUCUACGUUAUGCAGUGCAGCUUGUGCGCAACCAGGUCACACAUGUUGAUUCCAUGGCAACUAGUUUCCGUGCAUGUCAAGUUGACCAGGAUGAUGGUGAAUGAAUUUGGAAACCAGAAUUCAGUGUUUAUUUUUAUUAUGAUGAUUAUUAUUUUUAACUUAGUUAAAUGCGAUUUAACUGAGUUAUCAACAAAGAGAAGCUGGCAUUCACCAGGCAGUCAGUGGUUCUUGGAUGUUAAGGCUGGCACAGUGGGCCCCAUCAUAUACAUGCAGUAUUAGCAUGAUCAGGCCUGAUGUGGUGAAGCGGUCUUUUGGUGGAGCUCCUGGUUAUAUAUUUGUCCCAUCUUUUUCUGACCCUCUUUCCCCAUCCCUUCUCAACUGUUAUUUCAGUAUGGCGGGUGCCUGGAUGACCAUGGGAUGGGAGCAUUUUACUGCCUAGGGGACAGCUGAUCACAUCCCAGGCACCCAUCUUCCUUACGACGUGAUGCAGUUGUUAAGUUGUGCAGUUGAAAACGCAUACUGCUCUGUUUUCACUCAACCAUAAAAUGAUGUCAAUCUGAGAUUUUUAGUCAGAAGAAUCUCAGGUAAAAGGUAGAGAGGAUUAAGGAUAGGAACGCACUGCAUUUACAUAGUUACAGUACAUGUGUUAUAUAUAAUUUUUCACAGUGAAGUAUUUCUUUCCAUUUUAGUGGAGAGAAAGAAAGCUACAAAAAAGAAAGCAAUACUUGAAGUCUAAUGUCAAGGAGCCAUUACAGAAGGGCACUGCAACAUCUACAUCUGCAAAAACAGCACAGAACCGACAAAAAGGAACAGUUCUAGUACCUUCUACAAAGUCAAUAAAAAGAUCUGAGGAUGCCAGUAACAGUUCUUCUACAACUCAAAAUGGAACCAUUGCUGAUAAGCAGUCAAUAAAGAAAUUCCAGGUUAUUUCAAGUUUAUUCAAGUACAAUCCUGAAAUACCCACAUUAUCUACAAGUACUGAAUCACCCAUUAAAGAAAGAAAUCAACAAAGUGAAACAGUGUUCUCUGGUGAUAAAUUUAGUGACCUGGAUCUGUCUACUUUUAUGAUAUCCAAUCUUGAAAACAACUUAAAGCUGACAAGCAUGACAAGGUACGGGUAAAGUUAGACCACUUCAUACGUACAUGUAUAUGCCACAUACAUGUACAUGUAGUACUUUAGAGACCGCAGUUUCACAGAUUAAUUAAAAAUGAACAAUGCUUAAAGGCAGACACCCCCUUCUUAGUC